UCCGUAGGUGAACCUGCGGAGGGAUCAUUACACAAAUAUGAAGGCGGGCUGGAACCUCUCGGGGUUACAGCCUUGCUGAAUUAUUCACCCUUGUCUUUUGCGUACUUCUUGUUUCCUUGGUGGGUUCGCCCACCACUAGGACAAACAUAAACCUUUUGUAAUUGCAAUCAGCGUCAGUAACAAAUUAAUAAUUACAACUUUCAACAACGGAUCUCUUGGUUCUGGCAUCGAUGAAGAACGCAGCGAAAUGCGAUAAGUAGUGUGAAUUGCAGAAUUCAGUGAAUCAUCGAAUCUUUGAACGCACAUUGCGCCCUUUGGUAUUCCAAAGGGCAUGCCUGUUCGAGCGUCAUUUGUACCCUCAAGCUUUGCUUGGUGUUGGGCGUCUUGUCUCUAGCUUUGCUGGAGACUCGCCUUAAAGUAAUUGGCAGCCGGCCUACUGGUUUCGGAGCGCAGCACAAGUCGCACUCUCUAUCAGCAAAGGUCUAGCAUCCAUUAAGCCUUUUUUUCAACUUUUGACCUCGGAUCAGGUAGGGAUACCCGCUGAACUUAAGCAUAUCAAUAAGACGGAGGA
rnacentral:rRNA from 1 species